UACGAAGGGGGCUAGCGUUGCUCGGAAUCACUGGGCGUAAAGGGUGCGUAGGCGGGGCUUUAAGUCAGGGGGGAAAUCCUGGAGCUCAACUCCAGAACUGCCUUUGAUACUGAAGAUCUUGAGUUCGGGAGAGGUGAGUGGAACUGCGAGUGUAGAGGUGAAAUUCGUAGAUAUUCGCAAGAACACCAGUGGCGAAGGCGGCUCACUGGCCCGAUACUGACGCUGAGACACGAAAGCGUGGGGAGCAAACAGG
rnacentral:rRNA from 1 species